rnacentral:rRNA from 1 species
CAGUCGCCACGGUAAUACGUAGGUGGCAAGCGUUGUCCGGAAUUAUUGGGCGUAAAGGGCUCGCAGGCGGUUUCUUAAGUCUGAUGUGAAAGCCCCCGGCUCAACCGGGGAGGGUCAUUGGAAACUGGGAAACUUGAGUGCAGAAGAGGAGAGUGGAAUUCCACGUGUAGCGGUGAAAUGCGUAGAGAUGUGGAGGAACACCAGUGGCGAAGGCGACUCUCUGGUCUGUAACUGACGCUGAGGAGCGAAAGCGUGGGGAGCGAGCAGGAUUAGAUACCCCAGUAGUCCCUGUCUCUUAUAC